rnacentral:rRNA from 1 species
GACGAACGCUGGCGGCGUGCUUAACACAUGCAAGUCGAACGGUGAAGCUCCAGCUUGCUGGAGUGGAUCAGUGGCGAACGGGUGAGUAACACGUGAGCAACCUGCCCCUGACUCUGGAAUAAGCGCUGGAAACGGCGUCUAACACUGGAUACGAGAAGGGUCCGCAUGGGCACUUUCUGGAAAGUUUUUCGGUUGGGGAUGGGCUCGCGGCCUAUCAGCUUGUUGGUGAGGUAAUGGCUCACCAAGGCGACGACGGGUAGCCGGCCUGAGAGGGCGACCGGCCACACUGGGACUGAGACACGGCCCAGACUCCUACGGGAGGCAGCAGUGGGGAAUAUUGCACAAUGGGCGAAAGCCUGAUGCAGCGACGCCGCGUGAGGGAUGACGGCCUUCGGGUUGUAAACCUCUUUCAGCAGGGAAGAAGCGAAAGUGACGGUACCUGCAGAAGAAGCACCGGCUAACUACGUG